GAGAUGUUUGAAUUGAAACUCUUUGUAAAACUACAAUUCCCAACUUCUCUACAUCCCAAAUCAUUCCUACCCAAAUUCACCUGAGAACUUCCCAUCACUGAAACCUCCAUAAUUUUCCUCUGAAACUGAAAUAUAACCAGAAAAAUUUGGGCGUUUUGUCAGAUAAACAAAUUCUUGACAAUCAGCAAAAGGAGAAUUUCAAGUAAUUUGGUAAACUGAAGGAUUUAGUGCAAAAAAAUUGAAGAAAUUAUACAAAAAUUUGAGAUUCAAUCGCAUCUGGGACCAGUUUUUAUAAUAAUUAAGAAAGAAACCAAUAGAAAUAGUGCUAGCUGAAUAAGCCACGUGUCAUCUUCACAGUU
rnacentral:misc_RNA from 1 species